rnacentral:rRNA from 1 species
CCAGAAAAGAAGCUGGUGGCAUGCCUUAUACAUGCAAGUCGAGCGGGAUCCAAGAAGCUUGCUUUUUGGUGAGAGCGGCGAACGGGUGAGUAACAGGUGAGCAAUCUGCCCCUCAGUUGAGGAUAGCCCUCCUAACGGAGGAUUAAUACUGAAUAUCGUAUAGCAUCUUAUGUUGUCUAUACAAAAGGCUUCGGCCGCUGGGGGAUGAGCUCGCUUAAGAUUAGCUAGUUGGUGAGGUAAUGGCUCACCAAGGCCACGAUCUUUAGCCGGCCUGAGAGGGUGAUCGGCCACAUUGGGACUGAGAUACGGCCCAGACUCCUACGGGAGGCAGCAGUAGGGAAUAUUGCACAAUGGACGCAAGUCUGAUGCAGCAAUGCCACGUGUGGGAUGACACUUUUAGGAGCGUAAACCACUGUCAACUGGGAAUAAUGCCAUGGUAGCCCCAUGGUUGAAGGUACCAGUAAAGGAAGCACCGGCUAACUUCGUGCCAGCAGCCGCGGUAACACGAGGGGUGCAAGCGUUGUUCGGAAUUACUGGGCGUAAAGAGUUCGUAGGCGGGAUGUCAAGUCAGAUGUUUAAAGCGGGGGCCUAACCCCCGUUCGGCAUUUGAACUGGCAUUCUUGAGUAGGUCAGAGGUUAACGGAAUUCCUAGUGUAGCGGUGGAAUGCGUAGAUAUUAGGAAGAACACCAAUUGCGAAGGCAGUUAACUGGGGCCAUACUGACGCUGAGGAACGAAAGUGUGGGUAGCGAACAGGAUUAGAUACCCUGGUAGUCCACACCGUAAACGAUGUACACUAGACGUCUGAUGUUUUUAUUGGGUGUCGGAGCUAACGCAUUAAGUGUACCGCCUGGGGAGUACGCUCGCAAGAGUGAAACUCAAAGGAUUGACGG